CAGUAGCCGCGGGAAUACGUAGGGUGCAAGCGUUGUCCGGAAUCAUUGGGCGUAAAGCGCGCGUAGGUGGCCAUUUAAGUCCGCUGUGAAAGUCAAAGGCUCAACCUUUGAAAGCCGGUGGAUACUGGAUGGCUAGAGUACGGAAGAGGCGAGUGGAAUUCCUGGUGUAGCGGUGGAAUGCGCAGAUAUCAGGAGGAACACCAAUAGCGAAGGCAGCUCGCUGGGACGUUACUGACACUGAGGCGCGAAAGCGUGGGGAGCGAACAGGAUUAGAUACCCCCGUAGUCCCUGUCUCUUAUAC
rnacentral:rRNA from 1 species